rnacentral:lncRNA from 1 species
UUGCAUGGUUUUUGGCUUCAAUGACUUCCUCAAUGCAUACUCAAAUGGUAGGCCUUCAGACUACUCAUCACAUGGAUAAGCUAAAUGUUACUAUGCAUCCCAUACAAAAGCCAAGAUUCGAAAACUCAAAAUUCAAAUGAAAUCUCUUAAACGUGAUUGCACCAUCUCUGCUUAUCUUCUUUGAUAUCAAGACAUUGACUCCCUUGAUGUUACUGGAGCCACUAUCUUGUCGGACGACCACAUUGACACCAUCUUUGACUGUCUACCUGAAGAGUACGACGAUUUCAUCACCUCUAUUACUUCCAGGCUUGACCCGUAUACUAUUGAAGAUAUUGAAGCCCUUCUCUUGGCACAAAAAAACGCUUUGAGAAGCACAUAAAUCUUGAGCGAUUUUCCAUUCAAGCCAAUGCUACCUUCACUCAAUGGACUCCUUCAUUGUCUUAACAGUCUUCUUCUCACUCAAACAACUCUUGCGGUAGUCGUGGUUCUUCAAGACCUUAUAAAAGUAAUAACCGUUAAUCUUAUUUCAAUAAUCACAACAAUUCUCGGAACCUUUUCAUUCGUCUUCG